UGCCAGACUCCUACGGGAGGCAGCAGUGGGGAAUAUUGCACAAUGGGGGAAACCCUGAUGCAGCGACGCCGCGUGAGUGAAGAAGUAAUUCGUUAUGUAAAGCUCUAUCAGCAGGGAAGAAAAUGACGGUACCUGACUAAGAAGCCCCGGCUAACUACGUGCCAGCAGCCGCGGUAAUACGUAGGGGGCAAGCGCUAUCCGGAUUUACUGGGUGUAAAGGGAGCGUAGACGGCAUGGCAAGUCAGAUGUGAAAGCCCGGGGCUCAACCCCGGGACUGCAUUUGAAACUGUCAGGCUGGAGUGCAGGAGAGGUAAGUGGAAUUCCUAGUGUAGCGGUGAAAUGCGUAGAUAUUAGGAGGAACACCAGUGGCGAAGGCGGCUUACUGGACUGUAACUGACGUUGAGGCUCGAAAGCGUGGGGGGCAAACAGGAUUAGAUACCCCCGUAUCU
rnacentral:rRNA from 1 species